GGGCCGGUAGUCUAGCGGAAGGACGCCCGCCUCGCGCGCGGGAGAUCCCGGGUUCGAAUCCCGGCCGGUCCA
rnacentral:tRNA from 3 species